rnacentral:rRNA from 1 species
AUAAUCCCUGCGGGGGAAAGAUCUAUCGCUAUUAGAUGAGCCUAUGUUAGAUUAGCUAGUUGGUAGGGUAAAGGCCUACCAAGGCGAUGAUCUAUAGCUGGUCUGAGAGGAUGAUCAGCCACACUGGAACUGAGAUACGGUCCAGACUCCUACGGGAGGCAGCAGUGGGGAAUAUUGGACAAUGGGCGCAAGCCUGAUCCAGCUAUGCCGCGUGAGUGAGGAAGGCCUUAGGGUUGUAAAACUCUUUCAGUAGGGAAGAUAAUGACGGUACCUACAGAAGAAGUCCCGGCAAACUCCGUGCCAGCAGCCGCGGUAAUACGGAGGGGGCAAGCGUUGUUCGGAAUUAUUGGGCGUAAAGGGCAUGUAGGCGGUUCGGUAAGUUAAAGGUGAAAUGCCAGGGCUUAACCCUGGAGCUGCUUUUAAUACUGCCA